GCCCAAGUAGCUCAGUGGGAGAGCGUUAGACUGAAGAUCUAAAGGUCGUUGGUUCAAUUCCGACCUUGGGCA